CAGGAUUGCUAUCCAGAGAGGCUAGGCAAGAUGUUCGUCGUCAAUGUGCCUUACAUUUUCAUGACUGUGUGGAAGAUGCUUUAUCCGUUUAUCGACAAAAAGACCAAGAAAAAGAUUAAUUUUGUGGAGAACGAUAAACUGCAGCAAACACUGCUUCAAGAUAUCGAUGAGAGCCAACUUGCAAAUAUCUUUGGAGGAACACUUGAGUUAGUUCCUAUUGAGGACUGCUGAUGGAUUUUCAACAACAUACAAAAUUUCUUCUCGAUUUUGUACGCAUUAUCGAUAAUUGUACAUCGUCAUGUCGAUUUUCCAUUUUUAAACUGUUUCAAUGGCAUGAAAAUAAAACCAUGGUUGCAUAGUUUAGCACUCACAUUACGAACGAAAUGCGUCAACACUAAAUUUUAUUUCUAAAGCUCAAAACAUGAAAACCAGCCUUUAAAAGGGAAAAGAAAGAACAAGUAGCCAGGCAUUAUUCAAGAAUAAUAAAGAGCCCCCUUCAGAAUUACUGCUGGGCUCUUCCAAGUUUAAUGAAGCAUCAAAAGGAAAA